CUUAAACAUGUUAAGGCCAGGUUAUGCCCGCUUACAUCUGUGCGAAAUAUGCCACCAUAACCUGGCCUUA